rnacentral:miRNA from 1 species
UGAGUUACAUGGUCAGGGGAUU